AAUAUCAGUUAAGGUCUACUUACUACCAUUUCGAACUAACUAGUAUUUCUAUUAAAGCAAAAAAAAAGAGAGUAAAACAAAAUAGAUAAUGUAGAGACUAUAAAUAGGAUCGAGAAGAACUUUAAACCACUUUCAAUCAUGAACUACUCGCCUUCUCAAACUUUUAAAACUCAUCAUAAAUAAUAAAGUCUAUUUCUCUUUCCUUUUAAACC
rnacentral:lncRNA from 1 species